CGAUAGCUGAUUUGUUUGACAGGUAAGAUAUCUCUGGGGCCAAUAUAUAUCCUUAGGGAACUGCCUCUGAUUAAGUCUUGGCUUUUUUACUGUGGUACCCACCUGUUUUUUCAGGCCACAUAGGAUUUAGAAACCAUCGGCAAUAUCGGCUAUCGU
rnacentral:other from 1 species